rnacentral:rRNA from 1 species
AAAGCUGUGCUAAUACCGCAUACGCCCUGAGGGGGAAAGCGGGAGAUCGAAAGACCUCGCGCGAUUAGAGCGGCCGAUGCCUGAUUAGCUUGUUGGUGGGGUAAAAGCCCACCAAGGCGACGAUCAGUAGCUGGUCUGAGAGGACGAUCAGCCACACUGGGACUGAGACACGGCCCAGACUCCUACGGGAGGCAGCAGUGGGGAAUUUUGGACAAUGGGGGCAACCCUGAUCCAGCAAUGCCGCGUGAGUGAAGAAGGCCUUCGGGUUGUAAAGCUCUUUUGUCAGGGAAGAAACACCGGCUCUAACACAGUCCGGGAAUGACGGUACCUGAAGAAUAAGCACCGGCUAACUACGUGCCAGCAGCCGCGGUAAUACGUAGGGUGCGAGCGUUAAUCGGAAUUACUGGGCGUAAAGCGUGCGCAGGCGGUUAUACAAGACAGGCGUGAAAUCCCCGGGCUUAACCUGGGAAUGGCGCCUGUGACUGUAUAGCUAGAGUGUGUCAGAGGGGGGUAGAAUUCCACGUGUAGCAGUGAAAUGCGUAGAUAUGUGGAGGAAUACCAAUGGCGAAGGCAGCCCCCUGGGAUAACACUGACGCUCAUGCACGAAAGCGUGGGGAGCAAACAGGAUUAGAUACCC